AUAUUAAACAGGUUAGUUCUCUCUUCUUUGCCAAAUCUCCAAUCUCUGGCGGGCAAGUUAGGGUUUACUUUCUCUAUAAGCUCUGGAUCUCUUUCUCCUCUGAUCUUUCUCUAAGUUAAUAUCUAAAGGUGUGGUGAUCGGUUUCCUAAUUCAAAUUGCAGUCCAUUCAUUUAUUUGUUAGCAUUGCCAUUUUCAUUUCAUUAUUUCAUGUUAUCUCUUGAUUUCCUUUGAUAAAUAAUCAGUUUUAUUUCUGCAUCUUUGCCUAUUUUUACAUGGUUUAUUUGCAAAGAAUAGCUUAUAAUGGUCAUGUUUUUGAUAUGUAUAGUUUUAGAUUUUGGUGUAAAUAAUCUGAGCUUAGUUUUG
rnacentral:misc_RNA from 1 species